rnacentral:rRNA from 1 species
GACGAACGCUGGCGGCGUGCCUAAUACAUGCAAGUCGAACGAACCGCGACUGAGUGCUUGCACUUGGUCAAGGUGAGUGGCGAACGGGUGAGUAACACGUGGGUAACCUACCUCAUAGUGGGGGAUAACAGUCGGAAACGACUGCUAAUACCGCAUAGGACAUAGGAUCACAUGAUCCAGUGAGGAAAGGUGGCGCAAGCUAUCGCUAAGAGAUGGACCCGCGGUGCAUUAGCUAGUUGGUAGGGUAAAGGCCUACCAAGGCGAUGAUGCAUAGCCGACCUGAGAGGGCGAUCGGCCACAUUGGGACUGAGACACGGCCCAAACUCCUACGGGAGGCAGCAGUAGGGAAUCUUCCGCAAUGGACGCAAGUCUGACGGAGCAACGCCGCGUGAGUGAAGAAGGUCUUCGGAUCGUAAAGCUCUGUUGUUAGAGAAGAACAGCGCAUAGAGUAACUGCUAUGCGUGUGACGGUAUCUAACCAGAAAGCCACGGCUAACUACGUG